UACGGAGGAUGCGAGCGUUAUCCGGAUUUAUUGGGUUUAAAGGGUGCGUAGGCGGGAUGCCAAGUUAGCGGUAAAAAUGCGGUGCUCAACGCCGUCGAGCCGUUGAAACUGGCGUUCUUGAGUGGGCGAGAAGUAUGCGGAAUGCGUGGUGUAGCGGUGAAAUGCAUAGAUAUCACGCAGAACUCCGAUUGCGAAGGCAGCAUACCGGCGCCCUACUGACGCUGAGGCACGAAAGCGUGGGUAUCGAACAGG
rnacentral:rRNA from 1 species